GUUGCGAUUGUAUAGUGGUUAGUACUCUGUGUUGUGGCUGCAGCAACCCCAGUUCCAAUCUGGGUCAUGGCA
rnacentral:tRNA from 1 species